CCGCCUGCAUUACAUAUCCCGUGAGGAUAA
rnacentral:piRNA from 1 species